AUUUUUGAUGCCAAGGGUCCCGAAGUGUGAUGAUUUUCUUGCAAGAGACCCCCUUUCUAAAAUAUAAAGACCAGCUACAUCUAGAUAAAAUGCACAGUGCAGUAUCCUGAUAGGGUCUUAGCUUUGAAAGGAAGAGUUGGAGUUUGAAAAAUGACAGUCUGAAAUUGGCCAAAGACAUUUCCAGAUGCCAUUUCCCCAUCCUUUAAACUGUCUCCUCCUAAUAAAACAAGUGGCAAAACACCAAAAGGAAAAGAUAAUGGAAUAGCCCACUGCAGCUGAGUGCCAGAUGUGGAUGAUAAAAGAAUGGGAAGUAUAUGCAGGACAUAUUUAGGAUUUCUAACCUGCUCUUGGUAUUAUACUUUGGUUGUAGCUGUGAUUAUAUAUAGCAAUAUUUCUGAAGGAUUUUGUCUUGUUUCACUGAGUAUGUGUUGUACUGAUUAUAAGCAGCUGAAGGUAAGAUUUCAUCUUAAUCCUCUAAUUUCCGUAAUAUAAAUAUGUAGCAUCAGAUACUGGUCAUAUAAUCGAAAGAAAACAUAAAACUGUACAUACAAAUGUUUUUCCAGCUUCUCAACUUGUCCAAAUUUCAUUCAUCUUCAGUGGUCUAAUACCCUGGCAGCGGUCCAGACAGCGUCCUCUAUGGCACAUAUAUUCUCAGCAGUGACUCAUUCUGGUGUUUUGAGCCUCCCGGAGGAAGCUCUCUUUCUCUCUCUGUAAUUCUUCAAGCUGAAAUACUGAGAAGAACCUCACAAUGCUGCUUUGUCCCUCAAAAACACUGAAGUCAUAGUUUCCCAGGCUGCUGCCCCCUGAGAUGCCUAGAAGUGAAGAAGCAAGAGGAGGGGCGCAGAGCUUGGUAAAUUGCUUGCAAAUUUUUUGGCAUGAAAAAAACAACAACAAAAAAUGGUACAAUACAUUCUUGUGCCCCUGUAGGCAUCUUCAUUGCCCCAAUAUAGCCGAUGAUGUUCUAUAAAAGAGAACAGCCUCCUUCACUUUGCUAAAUGAAUGAAAUUCAGAAUUUAAGAAUUGCUUUCCUUUGAAUUCAUGAGAAUGAAUCUGAAUUGAAUUGGCACCAACCUGUUUGUCUCUAUCUAUCUAUCUAUCUAUUAGGGGUGGCACGGUACACAGGUGU